rnacentral:rRNA from 1 species
GCCAGGCUGUCUCCACCCGAGACUCAGUGAAAUUGAACUCGCUGUGAAGAUGCAGUGUACCCGCGGCAAGACGGAAAGACCCCGUGAACCUUUACUAUAGCUUGACACUGAACAUUGAGCCUUGAUGUGUAGGAUAGGUGGGAGGCUUUGAAGUGUGGACGCCAGUCUGCAUGGAGCCGACCUUGAAAUACCACCCUUUAAUGUUUGAUGUUCUAACGUGGACCCGUGAUCCGGGUUGCGGACAGUGUCUGGUGGGUAGUUUGACUGGGGCGGUCUCCUCCUAAAGAGUAACGGAGGAGCACGAAGGUUGGCUAAUCCUGGUCGGACAUCAGGAGGUUAGUGCAAUGGCAUAAGCCAGCUUGACUGCGAGCGUGACGGCGCGAGCAGGUGCGAAAGCAGGUCAUAGUGAUCCGGUGGUUCUGAAUGGAAGGGCCAUCGCUCAACGGAUAAAAGGUACUCCGGGGAUAACAGGCUGAUACCGCCCAAGAGUUCAUAUCGACGGCGGUGUUUGGCACCUCGAUGUCGGCUCAUCACAUCCUGGGGCUGAAGUAGGUCCCAAGGGUAUGGCUGUUCGCCAUUUAAAGUGGUACGCGAGCUGGGUUUAGAACGUCGUGAGACAGUUCGGUCCCUAUCUGCCGUGGGCGCUGGAGAACUGAGGGGGGCUGCUCCUAGUACGAGAGGACCGGAGUGGACGCAUCACUGGUGUUCGGGUUGUCAUGCCAAUGGCACUGCCCGGUAGCUAAAUGCGGAAGAGA